rnacentral:lncRNA from 1 species
AGGCAGGGGAGGGGUGGAAUGUUUGGAUGAUGACGUAGUAGAGGAAGUACGUGUCGCCACGACAACCAGUAGGUGACGUGAACCAGGGCUCGCCGGCUCUAUGUAGGCUCGCAGGUUCAUCUGUCACACCACAGAAAGUUAUACUCAGACGUGGAGCCAGACUACUAACCGUCAAGAAAGUUCUGUCGAGACACAGGUGCUGAACUGCAGCUGUUGUCCUUAUUGACGAAUAAAACCAGGAAUGAUUGUCCUUGACCUCCAAAUGGAAUCAGACUGUUUACCUCUAGUGAAGUAGGAAAGCGGCCAGACAUCGUAUUGGUGUUGUCAGAGUGAGAACGACAGCCACUAGUGGAGUGGAUUUUAUUUUACUUUACUAAAAAAAAAAAACCUGAACAGUGAACUGCUGCUCAUCCGUGUUGAAGUUGAACAAACGACAGGAAAUAAUAUUUACUAGAAUGAUGGGUCUCCAUAACCCUGAAGCGUCAAAGCCAAGGUUGGGACCGUCAGCUGUAGUCGCGAAAACAACCAUGGAGAAACAAGAACAACAUUAUUACCGAGGAUAUGACGGAACCCAGCACAAACUGUUUCUUGUGAGAUACCAUCGGCACAGCGCAUGUCGGCGACGACCCUGACCUGUUAUUUUCCAGAAGAUGUCAGUCAGACAAAGAAGGACAUCACUGUUUAUCAUCACAACAGCGAUCCGGGUGUUGUUCCAGACAAUGUCCUGGAGUGUAUCUGGGUGAGGGGCGAGAUCAAGUGUCUUGUUCACCCGGAAUAUGAGUUCACCAACAAUGUCACCAAUCACCUUAUUGUCAGGAUCGCGCAAGUGUCGGAGAAUUACGAGGGUAACUACAGCUGUCGGACGUCUGGCUCCCGAGUUGAGGAUAUCAAGUUCUGCGAAUUUCAUCUGCUUAAAAAUCAGCCUCUUGCUGUGCAAGCCAACCUGGCGACAAAAUUAGCUCCACCUGUUGCCAUAGUGAUCUUUCUCUUGAUUAUCUGCGUGGGUACCUGUCGUCUGUAAGCACAGGAGACUAGCUACUCUACCAAACUACGGGAAAAGGAUUGGUCAGAUGCAGUCUCGACUGUAUGUAGUGACUGAGCGAGCAGCUGAUAACCCGAGAAGACCGACGAUGUCAGACGACAGGAUGAUGAGCAACGGUUCUGCGGCGCUGCUGUCGAUCAUCAAACACAUUUGAUUAAUUAUCCAUUUCUGUAUACUGGCGAAACAGGGAAGCGGGUCAGUGAACUCAGGCCACAUUCCUCCCUAGAACGAUGGGUAUGUAAAUCUGAGAAAAGCGAGUUCUCUAACAUCUCCCUCUCCUCCCCCAACGACCUGAAGAGGCUAUUGGAUGAUCUGUACCUUACUACCUCCUUAUUAUCAUCUGCAUCUACAGCAUCAUCCUUGUUACUGUGUGAUAGUUUUACCUCUGGAAUUUGCCAUCCCUCGCUUACUUAUCAUUCGCUGGUGUCUAUCAAAUAGCUCUAAAGAGCGGAGAGUGAAAGAAUGAAAAGGACUACAAAGGACGAACUAUUUCCAUUAAUGGCAAAUGCGUUUUAGUGUUUGUUAUCGCCGUUUUAUAUUUUUGUAAUUUUGAUACUUGUGUUGAUUUUGAAGAUUUAUUGCAGAUUAUUUCGUGUCCACUUAGUGUCGCCACAUAUGUAAAUAUCGCCAUCGGUACACUUGCGGAAUGUAUCUUGCCAUUGCACGAAAUAUUUUAAGUCAAUAAACUUCUGAUUU